GACGAACGCUGGCGGCGUGCCUAAUACAUGCAAGUAGAACGCACAGUUUAUACCGUAGCUUGCUACACCAUAGACUGUGAGUUGCGAACGGGUGAGUAACGCGUAGGUAACCUGCCUGGUAGCGGGGGAUAACUAUUGGAAACGAUAGCUAAUACCGCAUAAUAUUAAUUAUUGCAUGAUAAUUAAUUGAAAGGUGCAAUUGCACCACUACCAGAUGGACCUGCGUUGUAUUAGCUAGUAGGUGAGGUAACGGCUCACCUAGGCGACGAUACAUAGCCGACCUGAGAGGGUGAUCGGCCACACUGGGACUGAGACACGGCCCAGACUCCUACGGGAGGCAGCAGUAGGGAAUCUUCGGCAAUGGACGAAAGUCUGACCGAGCAACGCCGCGUGAGUGAAGAAGGUUUUCGGAUCGUAAAGCUCGGUUGUAAGAGAAGAACGGGUGUGAGAGUGGAAAGUUCACACUGUGACGGUAGCUUACCAGAAAGAGACGGCUAACUACGUG
rnacentral:rRNA from 1 species